rnacentral:rRNA from 1 species
AACCGUGUACGUACAAGCAGUAGGAGCCCCAUCACUCAAGUGCCUCGCACUGAGUGAUGCAAUAACACCACCGAAAAUAGCGCCGAAUUUGCUAACAAGGUUGGUCGAUUUUUUCAAGCCGUCGCGCAGUGUACCUAGAAGUACACGAGCAACGGAAGUUAAAAAAUCGGGCAAGAUUGAACGCAAAGGCAAGCGGGACAUUUGAGGAUGGGGUGACUG